UUUCCAUCCCCAAAGUUUUCUUCUUGUGAAGAGAGGUCAAAAUAAUAUAAUGCCUGGUUAUUCUCCACCUGUUUGCUCAUUAGGGAGGUCCUUAUACGCUUGCUAUGUUGUCAAGGCCAGCUUGUGGAUUGCCUAGACGAAGAAAGGAGUAUGAGUUUCUGAUAAUGUGUGUGCUACAUGAAAGAUGGCCCUCCAUCAUGCAGGUGGGUCUCAUCUAAUCGUCCGAAUGCCUGACUGGAACAAAAGACGUACCUCUCGUGAGCAAGAGGACCUGCUGCCAUAGACUGUUUCCAGACGUGAGCUGGAACACUGGCUCUUCCCUGAGUCCCCAACAUGUAAGCAGCCAAUAAACAUAAAAAAAUGCUCAACAUCACUCAUCAUUGGAGAAAUGCAAAGCAAAACUACAGUGAGAUACUAUCUAACACCAGUCAGAAUGACUAUUAAGAAAAAGUCAAAAACUAACAGAUGCUGGU
rnacentral:lncRNA from 1 species